UACGGAGGGUGCAAGCGUUAUCCGGAUUCACUGGGUUUAAAGGGUGCGUAGGUGGGCAGGUAAGUCAGUAGUGAAAUCUCUGGGCUUAACCCGGAACUGCCGUUGAUACUAUCUGUCUUGAAUAUAGUGGAGGUGAGCGGAAUAUGUCAUGUAGCGGUGAAAUGCUUAGAUAUGACAUAGAACACCAAUUGCGAAGGCAGCUGGCUACACGAAUAUUGACACUGAUGCACGAAAGCGUGGGGGAUCAAACAGGA
rnacentral:rRNA from 1 species